rnacentral:rRNA from 1 species
CCAAUAGCGUCUAUUAAAGUUGUUGCAGUUAAAAAGCUCGUAGUUGAAUUUCGGGAUCAAGGGAUCGGUCAUGCCUUGGUAUGUACUGGUUUUAUUGGUUCUCACCUUCUAAAGAACCAUGAUGUCAUUCAUUUGAUGUUAUGGGGAAUUAGGACUGUUACCUUGAAAAAAUUAGAGUGUUUAAAGCAAGCUUACGCUUGAAUACAUUAGCAUGGAAUAAUGAAAUAGGACAUCAGAUUCUAUUUUGUUGGUUUCUAGGAUCGAUGUAAUGAUUAAUAGGGAUAGUUGGGGGCAUUAGUAUUCAAUUGUCAGAGGUGAAAUUCUUGGAUUUAUUGAAGACUAACUACUGCGAAAGCAUUUGCCAAGGAUGUUUUCAUUAAUCAAGAACGAAAGUUAGGGUAUCGAAGACGAUCAGAUACCGUCGUAGUCUUAACCAUAAACUAUGCCGACUAGGGAUCGGAUGAUGUUAAUUUUUUAAUGACUCAUUCGGCACCUUACG